CUACGGGGUGCACCAGUGAGGAAUAUUGCACAAUGGAGGAAACUCUGAUGCAGCAACGCCGCGUGGAGGAUGACGCAUUUCGGUGUGUAAACUCCUUUUAUGAGUCAAGAAAGUGACGGUAGCUCAUGAAUAAGCACCGGCUAACUCCGUGCCAGCAGCCGCGGUAAUACGGAGGGUGCAAGCGUUACUCGGAAUCACUGGGCGUAAAGGACGCGUAGGCGGGAUAUCAAGUCAGGUGUGAAAUCCUACAGCUUAACUGUAGAACUGCACUUGAAACUGGUAACCUAGAGUAUGGGAGGGGGAGAUGGAAUUAGUGGUGUAGGGGUAAAAUCCGUAGAUAUCACUAGGAAUACCUAAAGCGAAGGCGAUCUCCUGGAACAUAACUGACGCUAAGGCGUGAAAGCGUGGGGAGCAAACAGGAUUAGAUACCCCCGUAGUC
rnacentral:rRNA from 1 species